ensembl:lncRNA
GUUAUGAUGGAUAAAGAGACAGGUGUUCUGGUGACCUGUAACCCCAUCAGGAGCCCCAAGGGUCACCUCCUGCUAAACCAAACAUAACCUUUAUCAGUGAAGGUCACUCCUGAGAAACUCUGUUGAGAAACCCUGCAGACAGGAAAGCCAAGGAGGCCUCCUCCUUUCCAUUGUCAUUGUCUUUUAAGGGAGCUUGAACAGGUUAGCUCCUACAGACUUCUUUAACUGCCUGGAACACUCUGCUAAUUCUAUUUCCCAUACUCUUCAACUGAGUCAAGAGAAGAAAACAGACAUUUGGAACCCUGAUCCAAUCAAAUUAAUAUUCUGGUGAUCAGAAGCCAAGACUGUACAGAGAUUUCUGAGGCCUCUCCAGGAAUUCUGUCCAGAAUCCAGCUCUGGAGGACUUCAGUGUGCGAGAAUGUACAGUACAUUGGAUGGACUCUGGGGUCUAAGGAAUGAAGUUUGUCCUCAUUAGGACAAAAAGAUACAAGAGGAACGCCCGAGUACAUAUAGAACACAGGGUGCCAUGAUGUGGAGCCUGAAGACAAGGGAGGCUGCUGAACACUCUAAUGCCUGUAUGAGUGAACUUGGACAUGAACAGUGUAGCUGGAUCUGUUUGCCUUCAGUUCAAGCUGCAAUGUUGUCACCAUCUCCUCUUUCAGCCCAUCUUUGCUUCCCAGUCGUGAGACUUGAAGAGCACAGAGGAUGGCCUCUGUAGGUCAGUCACUGGCUCUGGACCAUUGACCACUACCACUGCUUUUACUUGGGAUGGUGUUCAAAUUGUGGGAUGUCUGAGAAAGCUGGGUUCCACGUUUUUGCUAUGCAACCUGUUCCUCACGUCCUGGACUUUGCCUGCUCCAGUCCUCAGUUGCCAUUCAGUAAGCAUUGUGACGUGUAAGGCUCUCAGGAGAAGCCAGAUCCCAGUGGCAUUAGUGUGACAAACAAGCUGUGCCCAAGGAGCUGACACUCUGGCAGAGUCCAGGACAUUCAGGAAGACAGAGGUGGUGAGAUAUCACCAACUAUGACUCUGACAUCCAAUGAAGCAGUCGAGGGCCAUGAGGCUUUUCUGACUGAGGCAACACAGCCUGGAGCCCAAAUCCCGAGGCUGUGCACCAAAGUCCUUCCCUGUUUGUCACUGGUGAGCACAGGCUGACCUGAAAGUCUGGACCUGAUCUCUCAGUGAAGGCAAAACCGCUUGACCUCUGAUUUUGAACUGCAAUUGUAGCUAAUGCUGCUAUUGAUUUAAAAAUCUAGUUCAAUAUGUGAAAAAAUACACUCUUCAAUCUCCUGGAACAUUCUGUCUCAGAGAGGACCGUGUCUACACGUCAAAGAAAAGACCAGAUCCUGGUGCUUUCCCACAAGAAGUUGCUCAAUAUGGCUACCAGGCAGGCCAAACAAAAGCCUCUGUCUGCAGACAGGAGGGCACCAACAAUGUGUCAAGAAACCUCAUCUGCAUCGUCACAAGCAUCUGCAGUGUGGAUAUCUGGUCAACAUGGUCUUUUGACAGUUGUGGAGCCCCUCCCACCAAUAAAGCUUUUGUAGGUGAAGAACCUGAAGGAUCAGAGGCUGUGCCAGUACAUGCUGGAGAAAUACUUGACUGGACUCGGGAGUAGGAGCCAAGGCAUUGGCCCACAGAUGUGCUGUUCUCCUUCUUUGGAUACCCGUCGCAACAACACAAUCUUCUCUGUCUACUGGAGUUGUCUUGGUUGUAGAUUUGGAGAUCCUCAAUAUCCCAGCUUAGUUCUCUAAUGUUAAGUCAUAUCGACUCUUAGCAUAGUACGUUAUUUGCCACUGUUCUUUCUACCUUUAUUUUGCCAGAAUUUUCUAUGGGUAAGUUAUUCCAUCUAUAACACUUUAUGAUGUGUAAGCCCACACGAAGGUACCCAGAGCCCAUACACAAUGUGCUCUUAUUUACCUGUGAGAAGUCCAAGCCAGUAAACCAAUCUUAACUCAGUGGUGAGAAGGAACUUAAAACUUAGAACAGGACUUGUUUUCAUUCCUUUCUUGUUAGUAUCAUUCACAACUUCUGUAGAAGUUGGGAGUCCAGAAAGCAAAGGGCGGGACUUUCUCACAUGAUCUUGACCCAUGUUGGGUUUUCUGUCUUCCAUCUCCACCUUUAACAUUUAAUAUACCACAUCUCUCCAAAGGUCAUGCCUAUUCUAGUGUGCUGCACUCAGUGAAGAAGUUGGAGCAAGUGUCAAAAGAGUGAAGGCCAAGCUCUGACUGUGACAGAGAGUUUGAUAUGGAUAAAUGAUGCUUUGAAAAACACGUGACUUUUCGCUGGGACCUCCAUCUACUGUAAAUAACCAACAAUCUGUUCAAGGAUCAAUGUGCCUCUGAGAUGAGGACAACAAGGUAGAAGGGAGUCCUCAGAAGGAAACGGGUCUGAGGGCUAACACCAUAACGCUUCCAAUUCUGUCUUCUAGGCAUCACUAAGAAAUCUAUAUAGUCCUACCUCCCAGAAGAUGAGUGAAGGUGUUACAGUUAGGAUGACUGUUGACAUGAGGCUCUCAGAGGUUCUCCACAAAUCUGAAGGACAAGAUUGAGAUUGCCAUUCUUAUGGUCUUUCCAUAGUCUCCCCUUGCAAUUAGAAUUGACCAUCACUGUGGACCUCAUCUAUUAGAUGAAGGAUAUCUAGAAAGCCUCUGGACAGGCAGCAUGGCAGAAAUCAACUCUUUCCACAAAAAAAGAAGGCUGCUGCUGACACAGUGGAUAGAGCACACACAAGCUCCCUGUCUGACUCCUUCAGCUCUUGCAUAUCCCCUUGGCUAACAUUUCAGAGCUUCUGAUCCUUCAGACAUCAGCUUCUUGAUACUGAAGAGAUUGUUCUACCUGAUGAGCCCAGGCCUAGAAGAUGGACUACAUCCAAGAAGCCUGGCCAAUCUAAGGCCAAGUCACAUCUUUAAGAAAUAUUUGAAAGCAUUUGUGCACGGGAUAAAGGUGCAAGGACCAAAGUCUCCUUAGACAUUCCAGCCUACAGAGGGUCUGACAGACUCAGGUCAAAGGUUACGUCUGAAGCCUAGAUCAUGAAGAAGGCCCCACUCCACAGGAGAAGCCUGUGGCUGAUGCUAUUGCAACUAGGACUAUGAUUGUGAAACUUGUGUCUGUGGAUAGCAGAUUCACGAAUCUUGUGCCCAGGUAUCCACAGGCCUUUUUUCAUACAUUCCUUUGUAUAACUUUGCAAGUCCUGAUUUUGGAAGUGUUGGGUCCUUAUGCUAUCUCACUUGACAUAUAGUCCAAGAAAGAUUUUUACCCCUUUAAGGGGCUGGAAAUAGACUGGACUCACAGUUACCAUUAAAACUGAAGUUCUGUCCUGUGUGGUUAUUGGCCCUUUUAAAACUUGUUUGACUGGGAACAAGGCUCAGAGCCUGAUAUUUUCAAGAUUCUCCCCUACAAAUUCAGAAACCCACAGCUCAAAGCAGUACAGAUAACACUCAGAAAUUAAUACAAGGACAAGGUGUC